rnacentral:lncRNA from 1 species
CUUUGUUAUUUUUAGACAACAAUAGGAGAUGGAUGAAGCAACAGUUUUACAUGAGAGAUCUGUCACUAUUGAGCAAAACCAGAAGCCACUGAGAAGCCCAAGCUCUGACAUCAAGUGCUAGAGAUCAAACCAGGGUCUUGUGCAUAUCAGGUAAGCAUUUUACCAAUGAGCUAUAUCUCUAGCCCCUAAAUUUUCUUUAUAAGAACCUUUUGGAGCUGAUCACUCUGGUUUAUGCCUGGAGUCUUAGCCAAUCAGGAGCCUGAGGUAGGAGAAUAAUAAGUUCAUGGCCAUUCUGGGAAACUUAGUGAGACCCUGUUUCAAAAUAAAAAAUAAAACGGCCAGGGAUUUAGCUCAGUUCUGCCACCUGCCUCAAAAGCUUAAGUUCCUGAGUUUGAUCCCUGGUACCAAAAAAAUAAAAAAUAAAAAGGGCUGGAGAUAUAACUCAUUGGUAGAGCACUCACCUAGCAUGUUCAAGGCUCUGGCUGGGAUAAUCCCUAGUACCACAGAAGAAAUUUUUUGGUAGAUAUCUUCAUUGUAAUGUAUGAAAUCUAAGUAGGUGUUAUAUGAAAUGUUACAGGUUUUUGGAUUGAAAAAUCUCCUAAAGAUAUAAAACCUCCAGUUUUGAUGGCUUAUUUCUGCCUAAAUCUUCAUUCAGUUUCAGAUAAAUUUUCUAGUCAUCAAAGAGUGGAUAUGUAUUUCUGAUUAAUUGUCAGAGAAUUUCUUGUUUGAAAAAUUAACUUCUAAGUAUAUUACUGAGCCACUGUGUGACCUUAAACAUGUUAAAGAGUUUUGGGAUAUCUUCCUUUCAUAUUGUAAAAUGCAGAUUAAAUACAUUUCGUGGAUCUUUCAAAAAUACCAUGGGGAUUAAUGAGAUAAUGCCAGCAGGCAUAUUAAUGCCAUCCAUUUUUUUGCAUAUAGAUUUCUGCUCAUUUUAAUACUAAAAUAGGUCAUGUAUUAAAAAAUGAGUAUACAGGAUUAAGAUUAUAGUGAACUGUAUUAGAAUGAACAGAUGACAAGUAGGAUUAUUAAGCUUCAACAUACGCCUUCCCUUUUACUUUAACUCCAUGAUAUGUUCAUAAUUUAAAAGAGACUCUUUCAUAGUCCUAGGGAUCUUAAUCCAUAUGCCAGGCUGUCUGCUUAACUUAAAAACCAUUGAAAUGGACUAAAAUCCUGUGAUGUUGCUAAUAAUUUGCUUUACUGAGUAAUUAUCCCUCAGCAAGCAAUAAACCCACAGCUCAGAAACUGGUAAUGUUGUCAUCUUAUCUGUGGAACAACUUAAUCCUUGCUGGAGAAAAUCCCUUGAGCCAAAAUUCAUGGUCUAAAAGUGGGAGAAGAGCUAUGCAUCAUCGUUGGCCCAUUGAUGAUGCUGUUGCCCCAACGUUGUGCAGGGAGUUUGCCUGCUAUCAAUUUUAUCAUUGGCUGAUAUCAUAAGUCAGGCCUGGUGAUCAGACAAGGUCACCCUGAAAUUCCAUUUGGUGAGUGAGGCAUUACGUGGCUGCAGUUCUCUUCCAGAUUGAUGGCAUUUCCCAGCAUCUGUAGGUUUUAAAGAUAUGAAAAUCAGCUUAGAAAAGACAGGGCAGCUGUCUCUGUAUGAAUGGAUUCAAAUGAUAGGAAUUAGAGAUUGAGUAGGUAGAAAGGGACUAGAGGAUGAAAAAAGAGGGAACUAAAAAAGCAGGAAAUAAAACACAAGGAAAAAGAAUAUAUAUACCAGGUAGGGGAAAGGAGAUGUCAGAAUUGCAUGUAGGUGUAGGGAUAAAAAGAAAAGAAAAGAAGCACAGAUAGAAAUAAACCAGAAAGUUAUUUAUUUUUACAUCCAAUAAGAUGAUGGUUUUAGGGGAUAAGUCCUCCACAAGGUUCCCAGUAUCAAGUAUACUUGUGUUUGUUUUCUUAAGAACUUUCCUUUCAUCUUCAACAUGUUUAUGUAUUUCUUUCUCACUCUGUCCUUUCAACAAAUGAAGCUCUAUUUCACAUGGGUAAAAGAAGUAUGUUUAUUGUGAAACAAACGAAAAAACUUUAAGCUUUUUAAUUCAAUGUAAUCCCAUCUGUACAUUUUUCCUUUCAUUGCCUGUGAUUUCUGGGUUAUGUCCAAGAAAUCAUUGCUGAGACCAAUGUCAUGGUUGUCUUCCAGUAAUUUUAUAGCUUCAGGUCUUACAUGUUUGCCUUUAAUUCAUUUUGAGUUGAUAUUUUCAUAUGGUAUAGUAUAAGUGUCCAAUUUUAUUCUUCGUAUCUAUGUAGAUAUCCAAUUUUUUCAGCAUCAUCUAUUGAUGAAACUGUCCUCUUCCCAUUGUAUGUUCCUGGCACCUUUAUUGAAAAAUAGUUGACCAUAAAUUCUUAUGUUGAUUUUUGGACUCUGUCCUGUUCCAUUGGUCAAUGUAUCUAUUUUUUAUGCGAGUUUUCACUAGUAUAGGCUACAUCUAAGUUUCUGGGAGGGUCCCCAACAAUGUGAUUACUUCAUUACAUAUUUUUGUAAAAUUUAAAAAAGAAAUCACAAUUUUAACAUCUCUGAUCCUCUUCAAAAUUUUUAAAUUAUAAUUUCAUUUCUCAUUAUUAAAACUUUCAUAUUUAAAUUUAGAUUAGUGAAAAAUAUUGUGUAUUUUUCUUAAGGAGAGUCUCUAAGUCAUAUUUAAUUUUAAUUUCCAUGAAACCUGGAUUUGAUCUUGGAGAUAAGGUCAUAUGAUGAUUAGCAAAUAUAGGCCAAAGAACAAGGAACAGUUGGCUGAGUUCUCUUCAGCCUUCUGUUUAGCAAAUCAGUCUUCCUCCAAAUUUAAAAAAAAAAUUGAAAGGCAGAACCUUUUUGGCUAUGUGUUCAAGAAGCAUUCACAUACUUAAACUGACAUCAUGAAACACAUAAACAUCAGAAGAAUGUGACACCAAAGGAAGUGACUAAUAAAUUAAUGAUUUUAUGAUGUAGCAAAUGUAAUUAUUAAAAGAUGUUAAAAGGAAAAAUAAAAACCAAGAAAAAAUAAGACAUUAAAAGGUAAAACAAGAAAUACACCACAUUUAAUUUCUUCUUCUGUAUAAGUGAAUAGAGUACACAUAGUAAUCAAUAAGAGUACCAUCAAACUUGAAAUUGGAAGAUCUUGAUUAAAGUUCUUGUUCUACUUCAAUUAAAGUUCUUAGUCUACUUCUAAGGAGCUUAGCAAUUGUAGCAGGUUUGGUUAAUUGUCCCUCUAUGUGGUAGAUUAACUAAUGGUUAACUUGGAAAGCCCAGAUGAACUGAAUCAGUGUGGUCUGGGUGUGGAAGACCCACCUGAGGAUUGUUGCCAAAGGCAUAAAAAGAGAACUGUAGGGGAAGAUUGUUUUGUUGUUGAUUUUCUUGGAGAAACUUGCUGUGAGUGAUGCAAAAUUGGCUGUUCUUUCAUAAUUGGAGGAGCUUGGGUCCUUGCUCUCACUGGGAAUGGCUGCUGUUCUAGUCAGGGGAGCUCUGAUCUUUUCUGUGAGCAUCACUUCCUGGCUCCAGUGUAGAUCCCUCAGCCUAGUGGCAUAAAUCCUUCACCCCACUGGCACAGGCUUUCUAGCAUCCACCACUGGUCUUUGGGCCUUCCUGGUGCAACUCCUUGGUAAGGACAAGCAUGAGAUACUGCUGUGGAUUCUAGGCCACUGGCUGGACUAAUGAAGGACAUUGUUUUGGACUCUAGGCCUUCAGCUGGACUUGUACUGUGAGACCAAAGUGACUCCAUUUUGCUUAUGUGAAACCAGAAUGACUCCACUUUUGCCCAAAAUCGAGUAGUCUCCUUUGUCCUCUCACAUUAAUGAUUAAAAUGUGCUUGAUCUAGGACAAAAGAUACAAUCUGUAACAAACCAAAGUUCCUAAGUUAAUUACUCAGCCAUCUGUUUACCCAGGAAAUGAACAUCCUGGGCCCACUAUCUGUAGGAACCAUCUGUCAAUGUGCUGACUGUCAGUGCUGAGUGGUCGUGACCAUUAGUCACUGUGUCUGCUGACCAUCAACACGUGACAGUUGCCCACUAACCUUUGUCCUUCUUUUCUUUUGUAAAACCUAUACGUAAUCACCCCUUACCCCUGAUGAGUUCACCCAAUCAGAAAUGUACACUUCAUGCAUGUUAAGCGCUGACCAAUCAUUGUAACUGCUAAGUAGAGAAUCUCCAAACCUUGCUGUAACCUCUAUAAAAACCCCGCUAAUUUGGAACUCGGGGCUCUCAAUCUCGAUCCGCUGUGUCGGUGACAAUUGAGAGUCCCUACUUAAGCUUGAAUAAAUGACCCUCGUGCACUUACAUCGGAAACGGCCUCCUGGUGGUCUUUGGGACCUCACAAUCUGGGCACAACAGUACAUGACAUUGCUGUGGGAGCUAGGCCCUUGGCUGAAUUCUUUGAUUCUCUAGUGCAUGGAUAGAUCUCUUGCAUUCCUCUGCAUUUGACUUUUUUUGAAUAUUAUAAAAUAAUCCUAUAACUUAUGUGUCCUGUAUUAAACCUAUUCCCUUGCAAACCCUGAGUACAACACCAUAAUAUUUUUUUCUUCCUUUUAGUGAUGGCACCUAAGUUGUAGCCUCUCAGAUCACAUUUCCUAGCUUCCAUUAGGUUAGAUAUAGCCAUGUCACAAAGUUUUGACUAAUGGAUUGCACACAGUUUUGACUAAUGGGUUGACUAAUGCGUUGCAAAAUGAUGUGGGUGGCUGUGUACAUUGUCCUUAACUAUAUGAUGUGGCUUGUCUCCUUUUUCUUUCCUCUGGCCUAGAUGGCAGACAUAAUAUUGGUGAACCUGUUUUCACCAAUUGAUAAUGGCCAACCGAAUGAAACAAGAAUAUAGGAGCCUCAGUCCUCAGACAAUAUCAUAAUGUCUUUAGUCUGUACCAUGAUAGAGAAAUUUAAAAGAAACUUUUUUAGAAACUACAUUUUUGAGGUCUCCUUAGGCAAGUUCAAAUUUUCUCUCUGAAGGUUUAGUAUUUGAGUCUGAUGAAAUCCACAAUGGGCAGAUUAACAAGAGAAAAAGCCUGCUAGUAUUUUUUUCCCAUUAAGUUUAUUGGUACAUUUUAGGUAUAAAAUACAGUUACAUUCAUCAUUGGGAUCUUGUACUGUUACAGAAAUCUCAGAAAGAAAUACACAGAGACACAGAAUUCGGAUAAAAUAAUAAAAUUUCUUCUCGCGAGCGGACCGGAAUGCCAGAAACCAGUCUGGUCAAUAUCCGUGCCCCCCUUUGUGCAGCAUUUCCCUUUUUAUAUACUUUUUAGCCAUUAUCUCAUCCCUAGUGGUCUUUAAUAUGUAAAUACAAUUCCAGUUCUUAUUUACAAGUCACAGACACAAGAUAGGCCAUAUACAUUGUAAAUUCAUCCUGGCCUGGUAACUUUGUUAGGUUAAUGAAGUUACUGGUUAGAGUCAGAUAAUCUUCACUUUAAACUAGGAGUUACAGGAAAAGCAAAUCUUAAAAGAACACAUUACUUAUUUUGCUUCUACAACUACCUUAAUAUUCAAUCUAUUAAGUUAUCUAAAACUUUUCUGUAUCAGUACCAUUACAUGAGUAUCUUGGUUCUUUUUUUUUUUUUUCCCUUCCCCUGCUUUCCCUUCUCCCCCUCCACCCUUCCCUAUUUGCAAAGACUUUGUUUCCGUUUUUUUCCUUUUCUCAUAUUUUUUCUUUUCCCUUUUUCCCUUUCCCCUACCCUUCCCACUUCCCCUGCUCCUUUAGACUUUUUCUUCCUAUUACACAAUAUCAAUUAUACAUUUUUAAAAUUACAAUAUCAAGAUCUAGGAGACAUUACCACAGAUUUUACAGAAUUUAAAAGGAUAUAGAAAGCAUAUUACAAAAAUCUUUUUUUGAAAUAAAUUUGAUAACUUCUGAGAAGUACCUUGGAAGACAAAUUAAUGAAAUUAACUCUGGAGGAAAUAAAAGCCUGCUAGUAUUUACAUGCACAGAAACACCACAGGAAUGCUAAAACUGAAUGUGGUGGUUAAUAAAUUGUCAACUUGAGUAGGAGUGUCCCGCUGAAUUGAGUCGGUGUGGUUCUGGACAAGAAAGAUCCAUUUAAAGAGGG